AUUGAACGCUGGCGGCAGGCCUAACACAUGCAAGUCGAGCGGAGCGCAGGACGGGGGAGUAAUGCCUAGGAAUCUGCCUGUUAGUGGGGGAUAACGUCCAGAAACGGGCGCUAAUACCGCAUCCUAUCAGCUGAGCCUAGGUCGGCUUAGCUAGUGGGGGGGGUAAAGGCAUACCAAGGCGACGCUCCGUACCUUGUCUGAGAGGAUGAUCAGUACCACUGGAACUGAGACACGGUCCAGACUCCUACGGGAGGCAGCAGUGGGGAAUAUUGGACAAUGGGCGAAAGCCUGAUCCAGCCAUGCCGCGUGUGUGAAGAAGGUCUUCGGAUUGUAAAGUACUUUAAGUUGGGAGGCGUUACCAACAGAAUAAGCACCGGCUAACUUCGUGCCAGCAGCCGCGGUAAUUC
rnacentral:rRNA from 1 species